GCCAGACUCCUACGGGAGGCAGCAGUGGGGAAUAUUGCACAAUGGGGGAAACCCUGAUGCAGCGACGCCGCGUGAGUGAAGAAGUAUUUCGGUAUGUAAAGCUCUAUCAGCAGGGAAGAAGAAGGACGGUACCUGAGUAAGAAGCCCCGGCUAACUACGUGCCAGCAGCCGCGGUAAUACGUAGGGGGCAAGCGUUAUCCGGAUUUACUGGGUGUAAAGGGAGCGUAGACGGCCAGACAAGUCUGAAGUGAAAAUCCAGCGCUUAACGUUGGAAGUGCUUUGGAAACUGUCAGGCUGGAGUGCAGGAGAGGUAAGUGGAAUUCCUAGUGUAGCGGUGAAAUGCGUAGAUAUUAGGAGGAACACCAGUGGCGAAGGCGGCUUACUGGACGAUAACUGACGGUGAGGCGCGAAAGCGUGGGGAGCAAACAGGAUUAGAUACCCCCGUACA
rnacentral:rRNA from 1 species